rnacentral:lncRNA from 1 species
UCCCAGGUCCUCAGUGGAAUGCAAAAAAAAAGGACAAUGUUGUGGGGUUUUCAUAAGGACAAAUUUGUUCCAUUUAAAUGACUGUUAUUCUAAGAUUCUUCCUUUUUUUUUUUUUUUUUGCUAUUCCAUAUUUCCUUUUUAAAAUAACAGUACUAGAUGGUAUUUUUAUUAUUAUAAAAGAAAUAUAGACAUGUAGUAAAACAAAAAUCCAAAUAGGAACAAUGAUUAUAAAAUUAAAAUUACUUCUAUCUUCUCUCCCUUGAGUCAUAGUCCCUAUCCUAGGGGCAACCACAGUUACUAGUUUUUUGUGUAUCCUUAAUGUGCAUGCACGUGUGUGUGUGUGUCUGCACAAAAUUUUUACAAAAUAUAAAUGGAAUUCCACACUACAUACUGUUUUGUAUCUUACCUUUUUUGCUUAAUAAAUCUUUUGGUAUAGUUGAGUACAUUUAUUUUAUUUUUAAAAUGUUUACUGAGUCCCUACUCUAUUAGCCACCAGAAUCGGAGAAUUUGUGUUCUAUGCAUUGGAACUACAGGAACAAGAUAGAUGUGGUUUUUGCCUUCAGGGAGCUUACAUUCUAAUAGAAGAAACACUUGAGGAACAACAAAACAAACAGAAUAAUUGCAUAUUAUGAUAAAUGCUAAUAAGAAAAGACAUUGGAUAGAGAAUAGUGGUGGUCGUGGGGGAUCCAACUCCUUUUAAUCAGAUAAGGUUCUCUGUGGAGGUGACAUUUAAGUUGAGAUUUGAAGAAUGAAGCCAGUAGGAAGGAAACAGCAUUCCAGGCCAAGGAAACUGCAAAUGCAAGACUUUGAGGUAGGAAAAAGGAUGGCUUACUUGAGAAAUUUAAGGAAGAAUAAGGCAGGCCCAGUGCCGUGGUUCACACCUAUAAUCCCAGCACUUUGGGAGGGUGAGGUGGGAGAACUGCUUGAGCCCAGGAAUUUUUUGAGACCAGCCUAGGCAACACAGGCACACCCCUAUCUCUAUAAAAAAAAAAUUAAAAAUUAGCUGGGCAUGGUAGCAUGUGCCUGUAGUCCCAGCUACUUGGGAGACUACAGCUACAGGAGGAUCACUUGAGCCCAGGAGUUGGAGGCUGCAGUGAGCUAUAAUCAUAGUGCUGCACUCCAGCCUGGGUAACAGAGUGAGAUCCUGUCUCAAAAAAAACAAAACAAAACAAAACAAAACGCCAGGCAUGAAUCACACUUCUAAUCCCAGCACUUUGGGAGCCUGAGGUGGGUGGAUCACUUGAGCCCAGGAGUUUAAGACCAGCCUGGGCAACACAGGGAAACCCCUCUCUCCAAACAAUACAAAAAAUUAGCCAAGCGUGGUAGCGCAUGCCUGUAGUCCCAGCUACUCAGGAGGCUGAGAUGGGGGUAUCGCUUGAGCCCAGGAUGUCAAGGCUGUUGUGAGCUAUGAUUGCACCACUACAAUCUGGGCUGGGCAACAGAGUGAGACCCUGUCUCAUAAAAAAAAGAAUAAGAGAGCUCAUGCAUUGUGGGACAGGGCGAAGAGGUGCAGAGAGCACUGUCAGAAUGCACUGGGAAGCUGUGAGGGGCCUUAAUGGGGAGGGAGCAUGGUCUGGUUUGUGUAGAGCUCACUGGGUAGAGAAGUUUAGGGACCAAGUUGGAGGCUUAUGCACUUCAGGCAAAAGAUGAUGGUGUGAUGGUGGCACAGUUUAUGGAGUCUGGAUUCGGAGUCAGAGAAUGUUUCAACUUGAACAUCUUGGUCUGUGAUGCCUCUGGAGCACCUCAAGCAAGGAGCUGAAGUGUUGCUGUCUGGAGUUCAAAGGAGAGGUCUCAGCUGGAACUAUAAAACUGGGAGUUAUUGACCUGUGCCUUUAAAUAUCUGGGGGUAGGUUUGGGUAUGGACAGGAAUCUUACAGUCACUGACUCAAGUUGUCCAUUUAAAAACCUAGCCUUUCUUAAACUUUAAGUUCAAUUUACAAAUCUUGUUAUUCCAUUUUAAAUCUAGUAAUUUCUUGUAUAAAGAUAAGAACAAAAUCUUGUUAUUCCAUUUUAAAUCUAGCAAUUUCUUGUGUAAAGAUAAGAACAAUCACUUUCACUUGUUCUUUGAUUACUGUUAAUUCUUAAGUUUAGUAUAUUCAAUCCUCCUUAAUAUUUAAUAAGACUUACCUCCUUAAUCAAAUUUCCUUAGACACUUAAAACUACAAUUAUCAAUUUAAUAUGCCUGAUUUUCUCACUUUAAAUGCCCAAUAGGGCAGACUUACAAAUCUAAAAAGCAAAACCUUUCUAAGCAUUUAAGCAACUGUUGUAAAUUAAUUACCUAAAUGUAUAAAUGUAGCAAAUCAGAUUCACUUGGCUAUUUCAAGAACCUUAAAUCCUACACAAAGCAGAACAAGGAUCAUAGAAGCUUCUGUUCUGUAUUCAUUUCUUCACUACAGAAUAUUUAUUCCCAUUUCCUUUCUGGAGUUACAGAUUUACUCCCCCAAUAAAGAGACCAGAAUUUUUCCCAAAUAUUGCUAAUGGCAACCAAUCUAUUUCACUUUCAAAUCUGUCGUUUUGCACACAAGUCUUCAGAUAUUUAUUGACGGGAGACAUUAGCAUAUGGUGGUUGUAAGGAAACCUAGUAUCAGCUAGGGAAAGGAUAUGGAGAGAAUGCAAGUGUACCCAGCCCUGAAGGCCAAUACCUAGACAUGGGGUGGAGCAUGUAGAGGCUAUAGAGGGAACUGCCCUAACUUGGCAAAAUAAAUUGUGUAUAACCCCUUAUUGUGUAUAACCUCUUAAUUUGGGGGGAAGGAGAUUUUAAAGAUAAUCCCAGCAAAUGCUGUCACCAUAUACCUUCUCAAUCCUAAUAGCCACUAAUCACUGUGUGUGCUUGGACUUGUUGCUCAACCUUGCUGAACUCAAAUCCGAUAGGCUUAAAUAAAGGAUUGGCUUCCUAAGACCCUUUCUAAGUCUCACAGCCAGUGAGUCUAAGUCAGGGAUCACUGUAAGCAAAAGAGUAGAUAUAAGAAAAUACAUAUGUUUGAAAGAAAGUGAGUAGGCUAGACUAGAAGAGGUAAUUGCCUCCAAUGAAGAUUUAUUACAUACUUUAACCUUUAAAGCAGGGUGUCUUAAACUUUAAGGUGCAUUAAGAAUCAUCCAUAGAUUAAAUUAAUGUGUAUUAAAAUGUAGAUUUCAGAGCCUCAUACUCUUUCCACCAAGAUUUUAUUUAGGAGGUCUGAGAUGAGGCCUGAGAUUUUUGUAAUUUUUUUUACAGUUCCCUAUGUGAUUGUGAUGUAGAGCUAGGUUUGAAACCUGUAAAUCUUUCCUUUAAAGACUGGGUGAUACUCUGUUGGAGUCAGUACCAGUUCUUGCAAUGCAAGCUGCAGAGAACAUUGUUAAGAUUCAGAAACAGCCAGUGCGGUGGCUCACACCUGUAAUCCCAGCACUUUGGGAGGCCAAGGUGAGUGGAUCACUUAAGGCCAGGAGUUCGAGACCAGCCUGGACAACAUGGUGAAACCCAUCUCUACUAAAAAUACAAAAAUUAGCCAGGCGUGGUGGCGGGUGCCUGUAAUCCCAGCUACUCAGAAGGCUGUGGCAGGAGAAUCGUUUGAACCCAGGAAAUGGAGGUUGCAGUGAGCCAAGACUGCGCCACCCCAUUCCAGCCUUGGCAACGGAGUGAGACUCCGUCUCAAAAAAAAAAAAAAAAAUUCAGAAACUUGAGAAAUGGCAAAAUGCUGAGGCUGCAGUGGUCCCUGGAUCAAAAAACUACAGGUCUUUGCAGCCCAGAUUAGUCAGUGUUCUCCAGAGAAACAGAACCAAAAUUAACCAAGACACACUCCCAGAAUUUAAGAGAUGGGGAAAUUCUAAAAAGAGGUAUAGCAGAGCAGCUGGUUGGGCUCCAUAUACAUUCCACCCAUCUCCACGUGUAGCAGAGCCCUCUGUUUUCACCUGAGCAUACAGCCACCAGGAAUAAGGGCUACAUUUCCCAAUGUUCCCCUCCCCCGUUAGGUAUGGCGAAAUUCUGGCCAAAGAGGUACAAGUGGGAGGCUCACCUACAACUUCUGGGAACUAUCCUUAAAGAGCAAGGGUGAGCCCUUCCUCUGCCUUUCCCCCUUCCUCCUGGCUAGAAUGCCUCAGUAGAUGGGAGUCCCAGCAGCCACCUUGCUUAGUGACGCGACCUUGGGAAUGGAAGCCAAACAUGGCAAAGCAACAAGAGAAGCCUCGGUCUCUGAUGCUGAGGAAAACAAUCUGAUCACCUCUAGGAUUCCUGAAGGUGAGAGAAAAAUGUAAGCUUAUUUUUGGGUUUUCUGUUACUUGCUAAACCUAAUUAUGACUAAUUAAGCCAAUAAUAGUAUCUAAUAUUUAUUGAGUACCUAAUAUGUGCAAGGCACUUUUAUAUCUAAUAGUUGGUUUAUAUCUAAUAACUCAGACAGUCUUCACAACAAUCCCGAGAGGUUACUAUCAUCCCCAUUUUACAGAUGAGGAAACCAUGGCAGACUAAGGCCAUGUAAUUUUCCCAAGGUUCCCAGGCUAGUCAGUGGCAGAGCCAGGAUUCCAGCAUAAGCUGACUACAUCUAGAUUUAUACCAACCAUUAUGCUGUACUGCCUCUUGAUUCCAGAGGCCAAGUCAUCCAUCAUCCAUCUAUCCAUCCAUUCAACAAAUAUUAAUCAAGUGCCUGGGCACUGGAAACUAUGAUGAGCCAUAGAGACAGUUCCCUGUCCUUGC